UUUCCGUAGGUGAACCUGCGGAAGGAUCAUUAUCGUAAAACCGAGGCGCGAGGGCUGUCGCUGACCUUUUCGGUCGUGCACGCCCGAGCGCUCUCACACAAUCCAUCUCACCCCUUGUGCACCACCGCGUGGGUCCCUUUCUGGCUCGUCCGGAGGGGGGCCCGCGUUUUCACACAAACUUGAAGUAGUGUAGAAUGUCCUUUUUUUGCGAUAACACGCAAUCAAUACAACUUUCAACAACGGAUCUCUUGGCUCUC
rnacentral:misc_RNA from 1 species